ensembl:ncRNA F22E12.11 ncRNA
AAGUCAUGAUGAGAAGAAUAAAAAGUCAUGAAGAAAUGACCAAAUCCGUCUAUCGCCCUGAUCGAUAAUUGCGUCGAUUAAUGGAUGUAGAUAAUGUUUGAUAAUUGGUGACGGGAGAAAAGAAACCUGAUCCAGGGAUAGGUCCUAGUUAGCAUA